CCUACGGGGAGCAGCAGUCGAGAAUCAUUCACAAUGGGGGAAACCCUGAUGGUGCGACGCCGCGUGGGGGAACGAAGGUCUUCGGAUUGUAAACCCCUGUCAUGUGGGAGCAAAUUAAAAAGAUAGUACCACAAGAGGAAGAGACGGCUAACUCUGUGCCAGCAGCCGCGGUAAUACAGAGGUCUCAAGCGGUGUUCGGAAUCACUGGGCGGAAAGCGGGCUGAGGCUGUUUCGUAAGUCGUGUGUGAAAGGCGCGGGCUCAACCCGCGGACGGCACAUGAUACUGCGAGACUAGGGUAAUGGAGGGGGAACCGGAAUUCUCGGUGUAGCAGUGAAAUGCGUAGAUAUCGAGAGGAACACUCGUGGCGAAGGCGGGUUCCUGGACAUUAACUGACGCUGAGGCACGAAGGCCAGGGGAGCGAAAGGGAUUAGAUACCCCUGUAGUC
rnacentral:rRNA from 1 species